UCAAUGAGAGGCUUUAUUUUCCCAAGGGACAAUCACCGGGAUCCAAGAGAGAAAAGGGACAUCUUGGGUUUGAAGAAAGGAACAAAAAGCAGCUGGUUUGUCCAUGGCAGCAUAUGGCAGGGCUCCUGGAGAGCUACAGGAGGGUGUGCAGCCACCUCAGCACAAAACCACCCUCCACUCUCUGCCCAAGAGAGUUACUCAGAUACAACCAUGCCUGAAACGUUUCCCUGCUCCCCACAAGCCUCUGGUUUGCCCCAUGGACUGGAGCUGGCCCAGACAACACCUACAAGAACUAUGGACUGUUCAUUGAAAUUACUCCUGAAUUCAUGCAGUCAUUUCUCCCAGCCAGUAAUCACCAUCAACGUUGGAUUGCUGGGUCCUUCCUGUGUCAUUACAGAUCCUUUAUGUGUUAAAAGAGAGCAAAAAUUAAAGCCAUUUUCUAUCACACAAAGUACUCUCUCCUCCUUGAGGCUCUUCUACACGAGUGGAUCUUUGGAAAUGCAAAUCCUUGUGUGGAACUAACUCCAGCACCUCUGAUUCCUCUGUCUGCUUCAUACCUCCCACUGACAGAGGUAGGGCUGAGCAACAUGAACUGAUGAAGCCCUCUUCCUGCUUGCUGUGCCCAGCUGAGGCAGGUCACACCUGAGGAAGCAGAACAGCUUCACGGAAUGGUUUAGGUUGAAGGGACCUUAAAGCUCCUCCAGCUCCAACCCCUGCCCCGGGCAGGGACACCUUCCACUAGAGCAGCUUGCUCCAAGCCCCUGUGUCCAACCUGGCCUUGAACACUGCCAGGGAUGGGGCAGCCACAGCUUCUCUGGGCACCCUGUGCCAGCACCUCAGCACCCUCACUUCUGCCUUAUUUCUAACCUGAACUUCCCCUGUUGCAGUUUAAACCCAUCACCCCUUGUCCUGUUGCUACAAGUCCUGGAUAUAGAUAAGGCAAGUACAUGAAGAGAGGUGUCACCUCAGUGUCAUUGCCAAGGGAGAUGCCUGCAAUCACAGGGCAGACUGGCUUUUCCCAGGAGGAACGAUGACAUGAAACAAUCCCAUCUGCUGAUUGCAA
rnacentral:lncRNA from 1 species